UACGGGGGGGAGCAAGCGUUGUUCGGAUUUACUGGCGUAAAGGGCGCGUAGGCGGUCAGCACAAGUCAGUUGUGAAAUCUCCGGGCUUAACUCGGAAAGGUCAACUGAUACUGUGCGACUAGAGUGCAGAAGGGGCAACUGGAAUUCUCGGUGUAGCGGUGAAAUGCGUAGAUAUCGAGAGGAACACCUGCGGCGAAGGCGGGUUGCUGGGCUGACACUGACGCUGAUGCGCGAAAGCCAGGGGAGCGAAGCGGG
rnacentral:rRNA from 1 species